AAAAAAUGCACUGAGUAAUAAUAGAAGUGAUUUUUGAAAAAAUGAAAGUGAUCACUGAUGGUACUCAUGUAUAUAUAUUUUUAUUUCUAUUCUUUUUCUUUUUCUUCUUCUGUUUUGU
rnacentral:ribozyme from 14 species